rfam:Streptomyces rubellomurinus strain ATCC 31215 contig-267, whole genome shotgun sequence.
CUUGAGCGAGCCGAGCCACAACGGCCGUUCGGCGGGCCGCCCUUGGCCGUAGGUGGCGAGCAGCGCCUCGGCUUC